rnacentral:lncRNA from 1 species
GAGAAGUUGAAUGACCUGCCAAAGUCAUAGUUAGUACCGGGCAGAGGAAGGAGUGACACCAAGAAGGCUGCCACCAUCAUUGCUAUUCCAGAGUUCUCAGGAACGUUCGAUGAGAUCUGGCAGAUAAAAACCUCUACAUACCUGUGCAAUUAAAAGCUACACAGUGUGAGGCUGUUGGCUCUACAAACAUCUUUGAAAAGAUAGUUGGUGCCUCUGCUUGCAAGAUAUGCAGAAACAUGAGGACCGGCUCCCACAGCAGCGAGUGCCACAGCCCCGGGGGUGCUCAGUGAGCGCCUCGGCUCGGACUUCUGUACUCAGCGUGGAGUGGACAGGCAAGUUCUAGGCUUCCUACCAAAUCAGAGAUUCCACAAGAUUCUGGUUCUCUUCCUUGGUUUUGGGAGAGCCUGAAGUCAAGACAGAGAAAAUGAUGACGUGAAUGACAGGGCUCCUCCAUACAGCGGGGCUGUCCACGAAGCCCCUGUGACCCACAGGGCAAGGACUGUGUUCUCUUACCUGUGGAAUCCAGUGCUCAUCCUGGAGCUGGCACAUCAAAGGACUUCUAAGUAGGGCUGGCUGAAGACUCUGGGAGAACAUGGUCAUACUACACAUGCACACAGUUCUGACUUGCUCUGCGACCUUGGCCAGGCAUUUUGUCUCUCCACAUCUCAUUGGUAAAAUAAGGAAUUUAACGAGAUGUCCUCAAAUAUCUCUUCUAGUUGUAGAAGUCUAUGUGUCUGUAACAUAAUUAUAAUUAUCAAUUCCUACAAAGUGCCAGGAGAUAAGAAACAUGAUUUCUCCUCCUUCAAGGAUUUUACUACCAAGUUGGGAAAUAUAUUAUUGUUAAUUAUUCAUGUACAUAAAUGCCAAAAAACGACACUGGGCUAUAUGUGAUUAAAUCUCCAAAGGAGAGACAGGAUGUGUAGUCGGAGUGAUUCGUUUAUACGCUGAGCAUUUACAGAGCACAGACGAUCUAUGAGCUAGGUUCUGUUCUAGGGGUUAUGUUGACACAAGGUCAAGACAAUAAGCUAUAGGGGCAACAGCCAGAACUCAAAACCAUCAAAGGAUCUUGGGAAAAUGAUUUAAUCCCCUGAGUCAAGAAAUUUUUCUCUAUCCUUCUAGGUUCUUCUGGCUAGUCUAAGAAUUAAACUGAUGUGAGACAGAUUAAGAGGAGAAAGUCAAGCACAGUUUAAUAACAUGUAUAUAUGUGGGAAACCUAGGAAAACUGAGUAAUUUGCCAAAAUGGCCAAAGCUACCACCUCAAAUAUCAUCUUCAGCUAAAGACAAAAGAGGAUGUUAGGGUAGUGGUUUGGGAUUUCAAAGGGGAGGAAGGCAAUUCACAUGGAGAUGGAAAAGCAAAUGUUUGGUAAAGGAAUGUUUGCCAUGGCUUGCAAAGACUAAGAGACUGGAGAGGACUUUGAUUCACUGGGCCUUGCUCGGUUCCUCCCUGUCUACCACACCUAGUUCAUCUUAUACUCAGUUCUCUAUGGUGACAGCUCCUUCCUGGAACAGGCCUUCUACCUUAGAAUCUUUUAGGCAGUUAGGAGAAGGUCAAAAUUUCUUCCUGAGUCUUUUGUUCUUAAAAAUAAUCAAGCCGAAGAGACAUUUUGGUGUGGCAAAUUCUGCUCCCCUACAAGUCUCACUUUCCAUAUAUGUAAAAUUGAGAUUAAAUAAAGAAUUAUGGAGAGGAUUUGGUGAUUUAGUGAGUUUGAAAAAUGCUGGGUAAAUCGAAGGUGAGAUACCACUAUUAGUUGCCAUCAUUACUCACAAAUUUCGUUUGCCUAAUGAUUUUCCAUUCUCAGCAUUCGGGCUGCAGAGAGGGGCGUGCUGUUGUCCUUGGUCUGGAUCGUCGAACACCUUUCUGACCUGGUCUCUCUGCAUCCAGCCUUGGUUCCUCCAAUGCACACAGUAGUCAGAGUGAGCUCCCCAAAUCUCAUUGACCGAGUCAUUUCCCUGCUACGAUCCCAGAGGACACAUAAUUAGAAAAUGGGGGAGGGGCCAAGGGGCUUCCAUUUGAUCUGUAGUGUUUUAUAUUUUCAGCUAGGUAGUGGGUUCAUAAAUAUUAUUUAUACCAGUUAUACUUUUUGUCUGCCUAAAAUGUUUCUUAAUUAAAAGGCCAUUCGGGGUGGGGUGGGGGAGUACCAAGGACAUUGUGCUCAUUGACUGUCUCUUGACACCCUGCAAUCUCUGUGGAGGGGGACAGCAUCCUCCAGGGUGUCAGGAACAGGAGGGCUCGGAGUCAAUUCUCUGGGUCACUUGAGACUUCCAGAAGGUACUAUUUUUAAAAAGAAAUCAAACCUGUGUUCAUGAAUUGAGGUCUUUAUUUUCCAUACAGUGUUUGACAGUUUUCCCAGAGAGAAAGAAAACAAGAGAAAAUGUGGGAAAAUUCCCCAAAUGCAUGCAGUCACAGCAAGGGAGAAAACUGUUCUGGUUGCCCAGCUUCUGACUGAAAUGCAGAGGAAGGUCCCACUGUCCCCCAGGCCCCAGGCCUCAUUCUAAUUUAUUGAGGGAAGGACCCAGGAGGUAAAUCUCGGUGUCAUUCUCUAAGCCACCUGAAAUGAGCCCAUUAAACUGCCUCCCGUGAAUGGAGGCGUUUUUCCCAGGGUGGCAUGCCCCCACCCUCAUCCCACACCAGCCUCACCGAGGGCACCGCCACUCUGGGAGCCCAUGCGGCAUGUCCGACAAUGGGGCAUUCAGGAAGGCCUUUCCGGAUGGGGUAGAGGCCUGUUUUAUGCCCUGUUAAUUACUGCAACAAUUUAUAAAAUUCGUGACAAACAUAAAGCCCUCACAGAGAUUGUAUUUCAAAUGGUAUUUACCUGCAACAGAAUCCCCUUUGUUUUUAAUUCCUGGAUUUAUGAGCUGUUGCACAACAAAAUGGAACCACCCCUUGUCCCCAAUUGGGGGCACUGGCUGAGAGACCUCACGUAUGCUGUGGAGACAGAAACCUACUCAGACUCAGACUGAGACACCACAGUCGCAGACCCGCCUCCAGUCCAUGGUGUGUCUCAGUUUUGCAGCCUGUGAACUUGGGGAGUGGAGGUUGGACCAGGGCAGGUUGGAUACCCUUUCUGGCAUUGACAAUCAUCUGUCGUAAGUCUAGCGUCAGCAGUCGAGGACUAGCUCUGGCAGCAAGUCCCUCAAACAAACAGAAAUGGACAGGAGCUGGCGGCUGGCUGGACGGAGUGGUGAGGAGGAGUUGGGGAGGAGUAAUGGAGGGCUGGCAAGGUUUUAGCAGCUCCUGAGGCCCCAGGUUUCUUCCAAUCCCAACAACCUCUUCAUCAUUCCAGCGAUCAGCCUCAGGCCCAUUUGGUGUUAAUUACAGCAACCCAGGCUUCUCUGUGUGAAGGAAACAGGCCCUCAUUUCUCUCAUUAAAGUAAAAUAUGACCCAUUUUUAUGCCUGCGUAUUUUGUUGCCGAGAUUACGAGAAUCAUCUUUUCUGUUUAUACGGAACGAAGAAACGUUACACCAGGAAGGCGGCCUGGGCCCCUGAGUCUGGGGAAUAGGAAGCAGAUGUCGUCCCGCCCUUAUUUUCCCUUCUACCCCAGCUCCCCUCUCCUCCUCUCCACCUCUUCUCCCUCCAGAAGCAUAAUCCUCAUUUCAGAUCAACACGAGGGAAGUGGAUGGUAAGAAAAUAAGCUCACAUUUAUUGAGCUCUUUACCAGGUGCCAAGCCCUAUAAACAAGUUUCUCCUUUAAUUCUCCCCAGAAGCUUCAGGGGCAGUUGGUAUUAAUCCUUUUUCAGCGCCAGUUCCCUCCAACCAAGAAUGCUCCAAGUCGGCCUGGUGCCCCAAGAUGUGGGGCAAACUACUCCUGCUGAUCACAGAUGCAGUUACAGACCUUUGUGACCGCCUUGCUGGCCACAGGACUUCCACAUGACCGUCCUAGUGGCCUCACACAGACGGACCUGCACACCUCUGACACAGCAGAUUCACAAUCUGUGCUUUCACCAGUGGGCAGCAGUUAAAUGAAUCCCAUGCCACAGAAUGCUGGGCUACUGAGGAAAGAACAAGGAAGUGCUGUCUACACUCAUGAGGAACGGUCUCCCGGGUAGGGUGUGACGUGGCCGGAGCGAGGUGUGCAUCCUUAUAUUUCGACUUCUGUAUGGACUGCAUCGUGUUCACCCCUCAAAGUCUAGUUGCCACCGUAACGGCGAGAGACAGAAGCUCUGAGAGUUAAGGAGCUUUUCCCGGGCCUUGUGGCCACCGAGCAGGAAACAGCAACCAGGC